UUGAAUGAUCCAGUGGGCACUCUGUAUUCCUUCAUAAACUGUGUGGUGAAUGUGCGUGUGUGUAUGUAUGUAUAUGCACGUGUUUAUGUGUUUUCUGGGGUUAAUUUCCUUAAAAUAAAAAGGCAACUGUCAAGACUAAAGCUAUAAUAAUUUUUAUGAAUCUUAGAAAAUGUUGAAUUUUUAGUGAUUCCAGAAAUUGAUCUCUAUCGAUGAAACUGCUUUCUCAAAUACGUCAGCAAUGGGAUUCAGGCUUUGCUUACAAUGUGAAGGAAGUUCUUAGUCUCAUUUGCACAAAGAAGGAAGGAGGGCUAAAGAUAAAAAGAACUCAUAGUCUUUUCCAUAGUUUUGGGUCAUGUUCACUGUAAAAAAAAAUCACAAGAUGCCAUUUUUACACAGCCUUUUUAAUCUACACAUACGGCAAGCUAAUAAUUCCAAAAAAAUAAUUUCUUUCCUUUGUAGCCAUUUAAAACUAACAGCUAGAAAUAUUUCUUCUUCCAAUUAUUAAAAAUAAGCUGUUUCUGAGUCGGUGCUGACUACAUUUACUGAUUGAAGCAGCCAACUCCAAAUAUACCAUCUUUUAGUAUUGACACUUAAAAUAAAACUUCUCCCCAGAAAAAGAGUUCUAUAAAUGAUGGCUGUAGAAAUAGGCACUGUCCAGGCAGUUGUUUUGUGGAAGUAGUGUUGUUAUUUUCUGGUGUUUUCCAAGUCAUCUCAGAUGGUGCGUGAAAAUGAGAUGCCAAAGAAGGCUUAAAAAAGAUACCCUGCACCAGCUUCAGAAUGUAAGCAAAUCUUUCAUUCCAGCGCUUAAAAGUUUUGAGAAAGCUAAUCUAAAGUUAAAUGUUUACUAGCAUCUCUCCGAUUAUAUUUUAGAAACUACUGCACAAAAAUAAAACAAAUUUCUUAUUUUCUCUGGGUUGAAAAGUGCACAUAAAAUGGAAAAUGCUUUUUAUACCACUAUUUCCAGCAGGGAUUUUAUUUUCAUUUGUCAUUUGCCAGCCUGGGGUAUGUUGGGAGAAGGAACAAUUGAUUUUUGAAAAGGUGCAUUUGUGUGAAAACCAAAAAUUGUGUUCAACAAAUACUACUACUAACCCAUAUGUGGAUAUAUGUGUUUUAUACAUGAGUAAAAAAAAAAAAAAAAACAUACAUAUAUGUAUGGCAUAUAUAUAUAUAUAUAUAUAUAUAUAUAUGCUAUAGAAAUGCCAUCAAGUUACCAGUUUACUUCUAAAUGUAACUGCUUAAUAUAAAAUAUGCAUCUUUUUGUAGUACCUAAUUCUUGCAAUUCAGUGUAUUUCCUGGCGAGAGGCAGAGAUGAACAACCCUGGACAGUUACCACAUAUGGCUCUUAUGAGUAUAGACAAAAUGACCUACGAAUCAAGCAUUUUGUUCCACGGUCUCUACUGUUAGCUGUAUGUCUCAGAAACAGCUUCUUUCUCAAGAGAGAACAAGAGGGAUAAUGCUGGAUCUAAAGGCAUCAUCUGAAGAAGACAAAGAUAUCAACAAUCGCAACUAUUUGGCUUUCUGUCCAUCACUGAGACUUUUCAUAAUCUUCCCUUCAUAAAUAGGAUCUCUUGAUCAGAACAGAAAAGUUGAGUCUUAAAUUUCCUGUAUUUAUUUCUGACUGAUACUGAGGGAAGUGCAAAUUUGGUUGCUAUGAUUAAACUCCUUGAUUGUUCUUAA
rnacentral:lncRNA from 1 species